AGAGGAAAGGUACGAAAGAAAAGACGAGUUCCUAUACGUAAACGACGCCGCAGCUACCGUACGCGCUGCGUACUGCCGGCUGAUUACUAUGGAGGCGACGAUGGACGAAGGUAAAAGGACGAGAGACGUCGAAAGGCGAGUGUGUAUCUGUGUAUACUUUUACAUGUACAGUCGCAUACGGUAAGAGAGAGGGGAGAGAGAAAAAGGAGUGGGGGAGAGAGGGAAAGAAAGAAAGAGAGAGAGAGAGAGAAAGAAGGCAUAUACACGCACGCACGAAAAAAUCAGCAGCGCACUCUCGAUCGAGAAUGUCCAGUCGAUAGGUAUAAAGUGAUAAGUUCUCUUUCCUUUACGACAAAUUUCGAGUUCACACGAUAACUACACGUUCGACCAACCGAAAAACGCGCCGGCUUAAAAUCGUGACGAUUUUCUUUUGUACGCACGCACUCGGUGCGCGAAAGACCAGUGACGUCGCUUUACUCGUUGCAGAUUCUCUUUCUCUUUUUCUCUCUCUCCCUCUCUCUCUUUUUCUCUUUUCUUCUAGCAUCACCCCUUUAGCGCUCUCUCGUUUCUCCCACUACUUCACUUGCUUCCUAUCUUUUUAACAGCUUCGGCUAUUAUCGGUGAGCUACGAUAUGUUUAUUAGGCGCGUCACUGACCAACUAGUCACAUGACUCGCGCAGAAAUCAUUUUUCUCCAUUUCUUUUUUCUAAGAUAUAUGUAUUUUUCCUAGAUUCUUGAUAUUACUCCCUUUAAGAUAUUUAACCUACGCAAUAUCUUCAUCGUCAUUCUUGUUGUCUUUCGAAUUUUCCAAACAUUAAUUCACGUUUAUUUAGUUAAAUUCGUAUAAUUUAAAAAAAAACAUUAUAUAAAUUCUAAUUAAAGAAUGACAUUGUUAAAAAUAAUAUUAUAUUAUAUUUUAGUUUUUAUCGAGCGAUAUAAAAUUGUUCGUGAGGUAUGUAUCUAUGUACAUAUCUAUGUAUACAUGUAUGUAUAUAUGUAUGUAUCAUUAUGACGUGAAGCAUGUCGCCAUUAUACCGGCGUGAAACGAUACCGAUUUGAUUCGAUAAGUCGAACAAUCGACGCUCACCACCACGUGACGCUCCAAUCGAUGUUCUCAAUCGAACGGGAUUGGUAAGAUUCGUCCGUGAAAGUUAUGCGUGCGCACUUUUCAUAUAACCGAAGUAUAUAUAUACGACGAGUGCAUCGUGCUUCGAUUACGCGAAAACGAACAACCUUUACGGCUCCGCGUACGCGACAUCGGCCUUGAAUGUUAUCGUUGAAUCGACCUGUAUCAGUCCUACCUUCUCAAUUCUCAACGAUACAUGACGAUAUGAGUCAACUUGUACGAAAAACUUCGAUUUUCGAAAUAUUCCCUAAUAUUUAUUAUCAACCGAGGAGAGUUAAAUAUGUUCGCUUGAGGAAGUACUAUUAUAUAUAUAUACACGAAUUUUUAUAUUAUUAUUUUAUAUACGCGAAUUUUUGAUUAGCAAUAAUGAAUUUCAGCUAAUGAUAAAAAUGUCUCGUGAAAUUGAUAUUAUUAUUAUCUUUUUUCGGAGGAUGCAUCAAAAAUAAUUGUCGAUAUCAAAAGAAAUCGAUUUUUCUUUUCGAACGAUUUUAUUCUCUAAUAAUUUUUUUUUUUAAUUCUUUAGAUUCAAUCUGCUAUGAAAUAUAUUUUUUUCUUUUUUUUUUUUAAAUGUUAAGAAAAAAAAUGUUUCAAUUAAUAUGCACGUGUGUGUAUGUGUGUGUGUAUUCAGAACGUUUAGGAAAAUCGAAAGUGUAGAGAGGCGUGCCACUUUAUAGUAAUCAUAGUGUAAACUUGUCUAUACGUGUCAAAACGGUGUAUGUAUGUAUCCCUAUAUGUUCAUUAAAUUACUUUUCGAAUUCGUGCUGUAUUGAUUGUAUAAUCAAGGAUUUGGAUUUUAUAUAGAAAAAGAAAUUAAAAGAAAAAAAGAAACAGUAAAAAAAUUUUAAACAAGGUAAUUAUUAACCGAGGUCACAAAAUAAAAGCGCAUUAAGCACAAGUUCGAAUUGGUUUUCUUGAGAGUACAGUGGGCGAACGGGCGGGGGAUAGGGGUGGGGAGGGAAGGAGGGAUUACGUUAGUCGUAGUUAUCGACCAGCCCAUAACGACCUUGAAACUGAACGACUUUUAUAUGCGCCAAUGCGAUUCUCACGAAAUGAAAGAAUUUGUCUAAAACAAGAAAUACCAUAUAUGGUACGUUUUGGAUCAUUGAGACUAGGCAAAUGAAAAUAAACUGUAUCUUCG